CAGCACCUCAAGUGGUCAGGAUGAUUAUUGGGCCUAAAGCAUCCGUAGCCGGCGCUGUAAGUUUUCGGUUAAAUCUGUACGCUCAACGUACAGGCUGCCGGGAAUACUGCAGCGCUAGGGAGUGGGAGAGGUAGACGGUACUCGGUAGGAAGGGGUAAAAUCCUUUGAUCUAUUGAUGACCACCUGUGGCGAAGGCGGUCUACCAGAACACGUCCGACGGUGAGGGACGAAAGCUAGGGGAGCAAAACGGAUUAGAGACCCGAGUAGUCC
rnacentral:rRNA from 1 species